UGAAGACAUUUUCUAUGAUGGCUCAUU
rnacentral:piRNA from 1 species